AUGAACGCUGGCGGCGUGCUUAACACAUGCAAGUCGAACGGAAAGGCUCCUGCUUGCAGGGGCACUCGAGUGGCGAACGGGUGAGUAACACGUGGGUGAUCUGCCCUGCACUUCGGGAUAAGCCUGGGAAACUGGGUCUAAUACCGGAUAGGACCAUCGUUUAGUGUCGGUGGUGGAAAGUUUUUUCGGUGUGGGAUGAGCUCGCGGCCUAUCAGCUUGUUGGUGGGGUAAUGGCCUACCAAGGCGUCGACGGGUAGCCGGCCUGAGAGGGUGUACGGCCACAUUGGGACUGAGAUACGGCCCAGACUCCUACGGGAGGCAGCAGUGGGGAAUAUUGCACAAUGGGCGCAAGCCUGAUGCAGCGACGCCGCGUGGGGGAUGACGGCCUUCGGGUUGUAAACUCCUUUCGCCAGGGACGAAGCGAAAGUGACGGUACCUGGAGAAGAAGCACCGGCUAACUACGUG
rnacentral:rRNA from 1 species